rnacentral:rRNA from 1 species
GAUGAACGCUGGCGGCGUGCCUAAUACAUGCAAGUCGAGCGAACAGAUAAGGAGCUUGCUCCUUUGACGUUAGCGGCGGACGGGUGAGUAACACGUGGGUAACCUACCUAUAAGACUGGAAUAACUCCGGGAAACCGGGGCUAAUGCCGGAUAACAUUUAGAACCGCAUGGUUCUAAAGUGAAAGAUGGUUUUGCUAUCACUUAUAGAUGGACCCGCGCCGUAUUAGCUAGUUGGUAAGGUAACGGCUUGCCAAGGCAACGAUACGUGGCCGACCUGAGAGGGUGAUCGGCCACACUGGAACUGAGACACGGUCCAGACUCCUACGGGAGGCAGCAGUAGGGAAUCUUCCGCAAUGGGCGAAAGCCUGACGGAGCAACGCCGCGUGAGUGAUGAAGGUCUUCGGAUCGUAAAACUCUGUUAUUAGGGAAGAACAAAUGUGUAAGUAACUGUGCACGUCUUGACGGUACCUAAUCAGAAAGCCACGGCUAACUACGUG